rnacentral:rRNA from 1 species
AGUGAACGCUGGCGGCGUGCUUAACACAUGCAAGUCGAACGAGAACGGGUUAUAGCUUGCUAUAAUUGUCAGCUAAGUGGCGCACGGGUGAGUAAUGUAUAGGUAAUAUGCCUCUUACUAAGGGAUAACAAAUGGAAACGUUUGCUAAUACCUUAUACUCCUUAUUAACAUAAGUUAAUAAGGGAAAGAUUUAUUGGUAAGAGAUUAGCCUGUAUUGUAUCAGUUAGUUGGUGGGGUAAUGGCUUACCAAGACUAUGUCACAUAACUGGUUUGAGAGGAUGAUCAGUCACACUGGAACUGAGACACGGUCCAGACUCCUACGGGAGGAAGCAGUGGGGAAUAUUGCACAAUGGACGAAAGUCUGAUGCAGCAACGCCGCGUGGAGGAUGACACAUUUCGGUGCGUAAACUCCUUUUAUAUGAGAAGAUAAUGACGGUAUUAUAUGAAUAAGCACCGGCUAACUCCGUGCCAGCAGCCGCCGUAA